rnacentral:rRNA from 1 species
GACGAACGCUGGCGGCGUGCUUAACACAUGCAGGUCGAACGGAAAGGCCCUGCUUUUGUGGGGUGCUCGAGUGGCGAACGGGUGAGUAACACGUGAGUAACCUGUCCUUGACUUUGGGAUAACUUCAGGAAACUGGGGCUCAUACCGGGUAGGAGCUCCUGCUGCAUGGUGGGGGUUGGAAAGUUUCGGCGGUUGGGGAUGGACUCGCGGCUUAUCAGCUUGUUGGUGGGGUAGUGGCUUACCAAGGCUUUGACGGGUAGCCGGCCUGAGAGGGUGACCGGCCAAAUUGGGACUGAGAUACGGCCCAGACUACUACAGGAGGCAGCAGUGGGGAAUAGUGCAUUAUGGGCGGAAGCCUACUGCAGCAACGCCGCGUGCGGGAUGACGGGCUUCGCGUUGUAAACCGCUUCCGCCUGUGACGAAGCGUGAGUGACGGUAAUGGGUAAAGAAGCACCGGCUAACUACGUG